UACGAAGGGGGCUAGCGUUGUUCGGAUUUACUGGGCGUAAAGCGCACGUAGGCGGAUCGUUAAGUCGGGGGUGAAAUCCUGGAGCUCAACUCCAGAACUGCCUUCGAUACUGGCGAUCUUGAGUCCGGAAGAGGUGAGUGGAACUCCUAGUGUAGAGGUGGAAUUCGUAGAUAAUUCGGAAGAACACCAGUGGCGAAGGCGGCUCACUGGACUGGUAUUGACGCUGAGGUGCGAAAGGCGUGGGGAGCAAACAGG
rnacentral:rRNA from 1 species